rnacentral:lncRNA from 1 species
GGCUGCGGCCGCGCUGAGGCGGCUCCGCCCCGGCCGGGCCCGCAGGCGGCGGCUGCUGCCGGGAGCGGGGUGUGGGGGGCGGGCAGGGGCUUGGCAGCGCGGUGCGGUGCUGUGCGGGGUUAGCGGGCCGGGAAAGGCCCGGUAACAAAGGGGUGCGCCCAGGGGAGGGGGGAGCUGGUGCACAGGGGCGGCCCGAGGGGGUCUGAACGCAGGGCGGGUUGCGGUGAUGAAGCGUUAUGUGCUGGAGAGUGUUUAACUGAGCAAAAGCUCUCGCAGUUAUCUCCGAGGUCCUUCCCCGCUUCCCCACAAGUAUAACUUCAUGUCACGAGUGAGCCUGCCAAAGGAGAGCUCUUCUCCAGUUGACAUCUGGGCUGCCAGUGUGCCAAGCGGUCAUCUAAAGUCACUCCGACAAGGCACUUGAAAGGAAACACAGGCUGGAAAAGGGCUGGGCAGAUUUAAAGUGGGAGAGAAGGAACAGUGGGCCUUCUGUAGGAGAGGGGACGAGGCAGCGUUUGCUGCUCUGGAACAGGAGAUCCAACACAGGGAAGCAAGAGGGAGCAACCAUGGGUCACACUGCACACGGGCAGCGUCGCCUUACUCCUUUCUCUAAGCACAAACACCCAGGUGAGCACCUUGCACGGAAAAAGGCUCUGUCGAUGCAAGGCAGGUCUGUCCUAGACCCCAUCCCGGGGCAGGCCUCCUGCUUUGCCCUCGCUGAGCCCCCCCAUGGCCCCUCCUGGGUGCUCUGUGGGCCGGGAGCUGCGGUGUCAGCCGGGAGGCAGAGGAAGCUGGCAGCCGUCCCGGGGCUGCUCCAUAGAAGGAGAUGGGCUAGCUGCGUGAGGUCAUCGCUGCUCCGGGAGGAGGCUUUCUCCGGCGAGAGGGAAGUGGGUCUCGCAGAAGGAAGGGGGAUCCUGCUGCCCUGGCGAAGGAGGAGCCGCAAGAGCAGAGCUGGAGCUUGUUCCUAAACUGGGAGACGUAAAAUUACAGCAAUGGGUGUGAUGGAUUUGUGAAGAUGAGCCCCUCUGACAGAAUGCUGAAUCAUCCCUGGAGCACUCCAUCCUCUGUAGUAAAUAAGUCAGGCGUUUAUGGAGAAAAGCACUGUGGAAGUAAUUACACGAUCACAUAAUGCAUAUUCCAAAGAGGGUGGCAUUUAGGUUUUCAUCCUCAAUUUGUGAGUCUCUUAAUUUCAGUACUUGAUUUGUCAGCUUUGCUGCUUUUCUCCAGCGCUGUUUAUGCGUGACUGUUUGCUUUAGAAAAAACAGAAAAUCUUAUUCCAUACAUUAACAGCAUAUUGAAACAUACAUGGUUCGUCAUCAUAUUUAUAGUGUUUGCUGUUUGGGCUGAGAAUGGCAAUAGUAAGUAGUUUUUCUCUGUACAAUACAGACCAGACUGGGAUGAGUAUUAAGAAUGUUACUUUUAUGAGUAUUUAAUAAAGGCAGGAAUACUUUUGUUAAAUAUUUGGUG